rnacentral:misc_RNA from 1 species
UUCUACGGGAGGCAGCAGUGGGGAAUUUUGGACAAUGGGAACCUCGAUCCAGCCAUCUCAAGCGUGCGAUGAAGGCCUUCGGGUUGUAAAGCACUUUUGGCAGGAAAAGAAAUGGCACGAUAAUACCGUGCAACUGACGGUACCUGCAGAAUAAGCACCGGCUAACUACGUGCCAGCAGCCGCGGUAAUACGUAGGGUGCAAGCGCGUUAAUCGGAAUUACUGGGCGCGUAAAGCGUGCGCAGGCGGUUCGGAAAGAAAGAUGUGAAAUCCCAGAGCUUAACUUUGAACCGCAUUUUUAACUACUGAGCUAGAGCAGUGUCAGAGGGAGGUGGAAUUCCGCGUGUAGCAGUGAAAUGUAGAUAUGCGGAGGAACACCGAUGGCGAAGGCAGCCUCCUGGGGAUAACACUGACGCUCAUGCACGAAAGCGGGGAGCAAACAGGAUUAGAUACCCCGGUAGUCCACGCCCUAAACGAUGUCAACUAGCUGUUGGGGGCCUUCGGGCCUCGGUAGCGCAGCUAACGCGUGAAGUUGACCGCCUGGGAGUACGGUCGCAAGAUUAAAACUCAAAGGAAUUGACGGGGGGACUGCACAAGCGGUGGAUGAUGUGGAUUAAUCUGAUGCAACGCGAAAACCCUUACCUACUCCUUGACAUGUCUGGAAUCCUGAAGAGAUUUGGGAGUGCUCGCAAGAGAACCGGAACACAGGUGCUGCAUGGCUGUCGUCAGCUCGUGUCGUGAGAUGUUGGUUAAGUCCCGCAACGAGCGCAACCCUUGUCAUUAGUUGCUACGAAAGGGCACUCUAAUGAGACUGCCGGUGACAAAACCGGAGGAAGGUGGGGAUGACGUCAAGUCCUCAUGGCCCUUAUGGGUAGGGCUUCACACGUCAUACAAUGGUCGGGACAGAGGGUCGCCAACUCCGCGCAGGGGGAGCCAAUCCCAGAAACCCGAUCGUAGGUCCGGACCGCAGUCUGCAACUCGACUGCGUGAAGUCGGAAUCGCCAUAGUAAUCGCGGAUCAGCAUGUCGUGGUGAAUACGUCUCGGGUCUUGUACACACCGCCCGUCACACCAUGGGAGUGGUUUUACCAGAAGCAGUUAGCCUAACCGUGGUUGGCGAUUACCACGGUAGGAUUCAUGACUGGGGUGAAGUCGUAAUGCUG